AGUGAACGCUGGCGGUAGGCCUAACACAUGCAAGUCGAACGGCAGCACCGUAAGAGCUUGCUCUUACGGGUGGCGAGUGGCGGACGGGUGAGGAAUACAUCGGAAUCUACUUUUUCGUGGGGGAUAACGUAGGGAAACUUACGCUAAUACCGCAUACGACCUACGGGUGAAAGCAGGGGAUCUUCGGACCUUGCGCGAUUGAAUGAGCCGAUGUCGGAUUAGCUAGUUGGCGGGGUAAAGGCCCACCAAGGCGACGAUCCGUAGCUGGUCUGAGAGGAUGAACAGCCACACUGGAACUGAGACACGGUCCAGACUCCUACGGGAGGCAGCAGUGGGGAAUAUUGGACAAUGGGCGCAAGCCUGAUCCAGCCAUACCGCGUGGGUGAAGAAGGCCUUCGGGUUGUAAAGCCCUUUUGUUGGGAAAGAAAAGCAGCAGGUUAAUACCCCGCUGUUCUGACGGUACCCAAAGAAUAAGCACCGGCUAACUUCGUG
rnacentral:rRNA from 1 species